GUACCGCCUGCCCUGUGGUAACCCUAAACGGCCGCGGCAUUUAAACCGUGCAAAGGUAGCACAAUCACUUGUCCUUUAAAUAAGGACGCGUAUGAAAGGCAACAUGAGAGAAGACCUGUCUCCUAAGGACUGCCAAUGAAAUUGAACUACCAGUUCAAAAGCUGGUAUUAACAAGCAAGACAAAAAGACCCUGUGGAACUUUAAUUAGCUGCUUUACAUAAAUUAAACCAGUAAUUUAAGUUGGGAAAACUCUAGAAAAAAUAAACUUCUUGAAACACCAAGACUAACUAGUCAAACCUACACGACCCAGUAAUACUGAUUAACGAAAUAAGCUACCCCAGGGAUAACAGCGCCACCUUCUCAAAGAGUCCAUAUCAACAAGAAGAUCUACGACCUCGAUGUUGGAUCAGGGUACCCAGACGGUGCAGCAGCUGUCAAUGGUUCGUUUGUUCAACGAUUAAUACCCU
rnacentral:rRNA from 1 species